rnacentral:rRNA from 1 species
GGACUACACGGGUAUCUAAUCCCAUUCGCUCCCCACGCUUUCGUCCUAGCAGUGUCAGGUGGCACCCAGAAGCCUGCCUACGCUAUUGGUGUUCCGAACGAUAUCAACGCAUUUCACUACUACACCGUUCGUUCCAGCUUCCUCUUUGCCCCUCUAGUUUUGCAGUUCCAAUGGACAGUCCCAAAGUUGAGCUUUGGGAUUUCACCACUGGCUAACAAAACCACCUGUCGGUACGCUUUACGCCCAAUAAUUCCGGAUAACGCUUGAGGUCUCUGUAUUACCGCGGCUGCUGGCAC